UGGUCGAACCACUGGGUCACUGGUCGAACUGCAUGAUAAACCGGAUUAAAUCGGAUUAAACCGGUGGAAUAAACCGGUCUUUAUAAUAAAACUACCUAGUUAUAUAUGGGCUUUGCUUAAAAAAAAUACGGGCUUAAACAAGUAACAACCUAAUACCCAUCUCUUAAAAUAAGACUAUAAAUUGAAACAACCCUAAUUAUCUAUUGUUUGUUGUCACUUGUCAGCCGCUGCCUCCUCUUCUUCUUCUACUUCUCCAAAAUUUAUUCUUCACUUCUCCCUUCUACUCCCUUCUAUGUUGCUGCUACUUCUAUUCCCACAAGAAUACAUCAUUAAAACUUAUGAGAAGUAAUAACAUGAACAUGAA
rnacentral:lncRNA from 1 species